rnacentral:rRNA from 1 species
CGCCUGGGGAGUACGGCCGCAAGGUUAAAACUCAAAUGAAUUGACGGGGGCCCGCACAAGCGGUGGAGCAUGUGGUUUAAUUCGAUGCAACGCGAAGAACCUUACCUGGUCUUGACAUCCACAGAACUUUCCAGAGAUGGAUUGGUGCCUUCGGGAACUGUGAGACAGGUGCUGCAUGGCUGUCGUCAGCUCGUGUUGUGAAAUGUUGGGUUAAGUCCCGCAACGAGCGCAACCCUUAUCCUUUGUUGCCAGCGGUCCGGCCGGGAACUCAAAGGAGACUGCCAGUGAUAAACUGGAGGAAGGUGGGAUGACGUCAAGUCAUCAUGGCCCUUACGACCAGGGCUACACACGUGCUACAAUGGCAUAUACAAAGAGAAGCGACCUCGCGAGAGCAAGCGGACCUCAUAAA